GCUUGCUCCGGCUGAUUUAGUGGCGGACGGGUGAGUAACGCGUGGGUAACCUGCCUCAUACAGGGGGAUAGCAGUUGGAAACGACUGGUAAAACCGCAUAAGCGCAGGGUGUCGCAUGACACAGUGUGAAAACACUCCAGUGGUAUGAGAUGGACCCGCGUCUGAUUAGCUAGUUGGUGAGGUAACGGCCCACCAAGGCGACGAUCAGUAGCCGGCCUGAGAGGGUGAACGGCCACAUUGGGACUGAGACACGGCCCAAACUCCUACGGGAGGCAGCAGUGGGGAAUAUUGCACAAUGGGGGAAACCCUGAUGCAGCGACGCCGCGUGAGUGAUGAAGUAUUUCGGUAUGUAAAGCUCUAUCAGCAGGGAAGAUAAUGACGGUACCUGACUAAGAAGCACCGGCUAAAUACGUGCCAGCAGCCGCGGUAAUACGUAUGGUGCAAGCGUUAUCCGGAUUUACUGGGCGUAAAGGGUGCGCAGGCGGUUCUGUAAGUCAGAUGUGAAAUCCCCGGGCUUAACCUGGGAACUGCGUUUGAAACUAUAGAGCUAGAGUGUGGCAGAGGGGGGUGGAAUUCCAUGUGUAGCAGUGAAAUGCGUAGAGAUAUGGAAGAACAUCGAUGGCGAAGGCAGCCCCCUGGGUUAACACUGACGCUCAUGCACGAAAGCGUGGGGAGCAAACAGGAUUAGAUACCCUGGUAGUCCACGCCCUAAACUAUGUCAACUAGUUGUCGGGCCUUAUUAGGUUUGGUAACGUAGCUAACGCGUGAAGUUGACCGCCUGGGGAGUACGGUCGCAAGAUUAAAACUCAAAGGAAUUGACGGGGACCCGCACAAGCGGUGGAUUAUGUGGAUUAAUUCGAUGCAACGCGAAAAACCUUACCUACCCUUGACAUGUCAGAAAGUUUUCAGAGAUGAAUUCGUGCUCGAAAGAGAAUCUGAACACAGGUGCUGCAUGGCUGUCGUCAGCUCGUGUCGUGAGAUGUUGGGUUAAGUCCCGCAACGAGCGCAACCCUUGUCAUUAAUUGCCAUCAUUUGGUUGGGCACUUUAAUGAGACUGCCGGUGAUAAACCGGAGGAAGGUGGGGAUGACGUCAAGUCCUCAUGGCCCUUAUGGGUAGGGCUUCACACGUAAUACAAUGGCGCGUACAGAGGGUUGCCAACCCGCGAGGGGGAGCUAAUCUCAGAAAGCGCGUCGUAGUCCGGAUCGGAGUCUGCAACUCGACUCCGUGAAGUCGGAAUCGCUAGUAAUCGCGGAUCAGCAUGUCGCGGUGAAUACGUUCCCGGGUCUUGUACACACCGCCCGUCACACCAUGGGAGUGGGUUUCACCAGAAGCAGGUAGUCUAACCGUAAGGAGGGCGCUUGCCACGGUGAGAUUCAUGACUGGGGUGAAGUCGUAACAAGGUA
rnacentral:rRNA from 1 species